AUUGAACGCUGGCGGCAUGCUUUACACAUGCAAGUCGAACGGUAACAGGCCGCAAGGUGCUGACGAGUGGCGAACGGGUGAGUAAUGCAUCGGAACGUGCCCAGUCGUGGGGGAUAACGCAGCGAAAGCUGCGCUAAUACCGCAUACGAUCUAUGGAUGAAAGCGGGGGACCGAAAGGCCUCGCGCGAUUGGAGCGGCCGAUGUCAGAUUAGGCAGUUGGUGGGGUAAAGGCUCACCAAGCCAACGAUCUGUAGCUGGUCUGAGAGGACGACCAGCCACACGGGGACUGAGAACCGGCCCAGACUCCUACGGGAGGCAGCAGUGGGGAAUUUUGGACAAUGGGCGCAAGCCUGAUCCAGCAAUGCCGCGUGCAGGAAGAAGGCCUUCGGGUUGUAAACUGCUUUCGUACGGAACGAAACGGUCCGGGCUAAUACCCUGGGCUAAUGACGGUACCGUAAGAAUAAGCACCGGCUAACUACGUGCCAGCCGCCGCCGUAAAAC
rnacentral:rRNA from 1 species